ensembl:miRNA MIR9802 microRNA mir-9802
AAAUUAGGCAGCUGGCGGACCUCGAAACCAAGUGUGAGUCUUUUCAUCCCCAAGGGUGGGGUUGUCGGCCUCCGGAUCC